UACAGAGGGUGCGAGCGUUAAUCGGAGUUACUGGGCGUAAAGGGCGCGUAGGCGGUUUGUUAAGUCAGUUGUGAAAGCCCAGGGCUCAACCUUGGAACUGCAAUUGAUACUGGCCGACUAGAGUCGAAGAGAGGGAAGCGGAAUUUCCGGUGUAGCGGUGAAAUGCGUAGAUAUCGGAAGGAACACCCGUGGCGAAGGCGGCUUCCUGGCUUCAGACUGACGCUGAGGCGCGAAAGCGUGGGGAGCAAACAGGAUUAGAUACCCCGGUA
rnacentral:rRNA from 1 species